GGGAAUCCUCUUAUAGUGGGCACUGGGACUUUCACAUUGAACAUUAACAUGCAGACGGUCCAACGCGAACUGGUUCGUCUGCGUGAAAGUCCCAGUGCCCACUGUAAGAGGAUUCCC
rnacentral:pre_miRNA from 1 species